rnacentral:rRNA from 1 species
GACUACAGGGGUAUCUAAGCCGGUUCGCUCCCCACGCUUUCGUGCCUUAGCGUCAGAAAUGGCCCAGUAACCUGCCUACGCCAUUGGUGUUCCUUCUUAUAUCUACGGAUUUCACUCCUACACAAGAAAUUCCAGUUACCUCUACCAUUCUCGAGUUAUGCAGUUCGAAUAAUAGUCUGUGUGGUUGAGCCACCAGGUUUCACUAUUCGCUUACAUAACCGCCUACGCAACUCUUUACGCCCAGUCACUCCGGAUAAUGCUUGCACCCUACGUAUGACCGCGGCUGCUGGCACGUAGUUAGCCGGUGCUUAUUCAUGAGUUACCGUCAUAUUCUUCACUCAUAAAAGAAGUUUACAAUCCGAAGACCUUCAUCCUUCACGCGGCGUUGCUCCAUCAGGCUUUCGCCCAUUGUGGAAGAUUCCUCACUGCAGCCCCCCGUAGG